rnacentral:rRNA from 1 species
UACGUAGGGGGCAAGCGUUGUCCGGAAUCAUUGGGCGUAAAGAGCUCGUAGGCGGUUUGUCGCGUCGGCCGUGAAAUCUCCACGCUUAACGUGGAGCGUGCGGUCGAUACGGGCAGACUUGAGUUCGGUAGGGGAGACUGGAAUUCCUGGUGUAGCGGUGAAAUGCGCGGAUAUCAGGAGGAACACCGGUGGCGAAGGCGGGUCUCUGGGCCGAUACUGACGCUGAGGAGCGAAAGCGUGGGGAGCGAACAGG